rfam:Triticum aestivum genome assembly, contig: Triticum_aestivum_CS42_TGACv1_scaffold_158404_2DL
CAAGUACGCCCUCCGUCCAGAAAAGCUUGUCCCUCAAAUGGCUCAAAUGGAUGUAUCUAGCACUAACUUGGUGCUAGAUACAUCCAUUUGAGGGACAAACUUUUUCGGACGGAGGGAGUGAGUA